GAUGAACGCUGGCGGCGUGCCUAAUACAUGCAAGUCGAGCGAACAGACGAGGAGCUUGCUCCUCUGACGUUAGCGGCGGACGGGUGAGUAACACGUGGAUAACCUACCUAUAAGACUGGGAUAACUUCGGGAAACCGGAGCUAAUACCGGAUAACAUGUUGAACCGCAUGGUUCAACAGUGAAAGACGGUCUUGCUGUCACUUAUAGAUGGAUCCGCGCCGCAUUAGCUAGUUGGUAAGGUAACGGCUUACCAAGGCAACGAUGCGUAGCCGACCUGAGAGGGUGAUCGGCCACACUGGAACUGAGACACGGUCCAGACUCCUACGGGAGGCAGCAGUAGGGAAUCUUCCGCAAUGGGCGAAAGCCUGACGGAGCAACGCCGCGUGAGUGAAGAAGGUUUUCGGAUCGUAAAGCUCUGUUGUAAGAGAAGAACGAGUGUGAGAGUGGAAAGUUCACACUGUGACGGUAACUUACCAGAAAGGGACGGCUAACUACGUG
rnacentral:rRNA from 1 species